rnacentral:rRNA from 1 species
UUCUGGCUCAGGAUGAACGCUGGCGGCGUGCUUAACACAUGCAAGUCGAACGGAGUUUUUAAACGGAAGUUUUCGGAUGGAAGUUUAGAAACUUAGUGGCGGACGGGUGAGUAACGCGUGGGUAACCUGCCUCAUACAGGGGGAUAACAGUUAGAAAUGACUGCUAACACCGCAUAAUAUAGCGAAACCGCAUGAUUUUGCUAUCAAAUAUUUAUAGGUAUGAGAUGGGCCCGCGUCUGAUUAGCUAGUUGGUGGGGUAAAAGCCUACCAGGGCGACGAUCAGUAGCCGGCUUGAGAGAGUGACCGGCCACAUUGGGACUGAGACACGGCCCAAACUCCUACGGGAGGCAGCAGUGGGGAAUAUUGGACAAUGGGGGAAACCCUGAUCCAGCGACGCCCGCGUGAGUGAAGAAGUAUUUCGGUAUGUAAAGCUCUAUCAGCAGGGAAGAUAAUGACAGUACCUGACUAAGAAGCCCCGGCUAACUACGUGCCAGCAGCUGC